rnacentral:lncRNA from 1 species
UGGCCCAAAUUAUCAAAGAUAAUAUUUUAAGGCUUUCAAGGGUCCUCUUAUGGGAUUACCCCCUCACUUCUCGAAUAGCUAAGUUUUUAAACUUAGCUCAUCUUCAGGACGAGGGGCUUUUUAAGGAUUCUCUUAUGGAGUUACCUCUCGCUUGUUGAUCAUCUAAGAUCUUCGAUGCAGAUUGUUGGAGAUGAUAUUUUAGGACUUUUGAGGGUCCUCUUAUGAGGUUACUUCCC